UGCCAGCCGCCGCGGUAAUACGUAUGGUGCAAACGUUGUUCGGAAUCACUGGGCAUAAAGAGCACGUAGGCGGAUUAGUAAGUUAGGGGUGAAAUCCCGGGGCUCAACCCCGGAACUGCCUCUAAUACUGCUAGUCUUGAGUUCGAGAGAGGUAAGUGGAAUUCCGAGUGUAGAGGUGAAAUUCGUAGAUAUUCGGAGGAACACCAGUGGCGAAGGCGGCUCACUGGCUCGAUACUGACGCUGAGGUGCGAAAGCGUGGGGAGCAAACAGGAUUAGAUA
rnacentral:rRNA from 1 species